UUUUAAAAUAUUUUACUAGAUUGUAUUUAUGGUUAACAGUAUCUUGCACUACAAUUUAUAUUUAGAUAAUCAUUCAUUUUAAAAUUAUUUAUUGAGCACCUACUAUGUGUUAGGUAUUAGGUACAGAGCAAUGAAUACAGCAAGCACAGUUCCUCACCUCGUGGACCUGACACUGUAGUGUGAGAGAUAAUAAGCAAAUGAUAUAAGGCCAUGCAGUAGUUAAAUGCUAUGAAGAAACAUAAAAUCUGGUACAGGGACAGAGAGUAGGGAGGGAGCUCUUGUUAUAAAGGGUGGCCAGGAAAGACCAAGUUGUGUAGCAGAGGCCUGAAGGAAGCCAGGGACCAAGCCAUAUGAAUUUUCUCAGAUAGGUGUAUUCUAGUUAUAGAGAACAGCAACUGGAACGGUCCUGAGAAGGGAACAUUCCUGGAACAUUCAAGAACUAGCCAAGAGAUCAGCAAGUCUAUAGUAAAAAGAAACAUAGUAGAUAGUCAUCUAGUGUUUUCUUCUCUUCCUUCCUAUUAUCUCUCAUACCAUGUCAUGUUACUUUUCUAAAGGAUCUCAAUGGGGAAGAGAACAUCAUUGUCUUUAAGAUUCAAUUUUUUGUGUAUUGAAAGUCUUCAUGGUCAUUCUUUUGAGAUCAUGACCUACUACAACGUCCCCAGGCCUGCAUCCUCCACAGGCUCCAUGAGCAGAAAAGCAGACGAAUAGAAGAGCAGAGGAACAGAAGAAUAGCAGUGUGGCCGAGCAGCGUGGUAGAGAAAGAGGGAAGAGAAGCAGCAUCUGAAUGUUGAGAGGAGUUUGGCUGGGGACAGUCGGAGAGGAGAUUGGCCGCAGGACGACCCAACUCCAGGGGAGGAACAUCUUCCUACUCCAUUCGCUUCCCCACUCCCCAGCCAUUCCACUGAGAGCCACCUCCAUCUGGCAAUAAAAUCUCUUGCAUUCACUAUCCUUCAAUUUGCCUGUGUGACCUGAUUCUUCCUGGAUGCUGGACAAGAACCCAGCAUCCAGGUACCAAGAGGGCACUGGGCUGGAUAACACUUGAGCUGUCUGUGGACGGCAGAGCUAAAAGAGCACUGUAACAUGCCCACUGGGGCUUUGGGAGUUGCAGGCACCCACCCUGGAUGCUACUACCAUGGGGCUGGAGCCCAAAAGUGUUUGCCCCGCCUCCUGCACCUGCCCGUCUGCAUGCUCCCCCUCCAGUAAGGGGUUUGAGUGCACAGAGGCUGAACAGAUGAGCCACACCCCUGUCACACAUCCUGUGAAGGGGGUUAGGAAACUCUCCCAUUUCAUCUUGACCAUCUUUGAGGGACUAUUGAUGCUUUUGGUAUCAGCAGCCACAGAAUUCAUCAGACACAGCACAAAAGAGCAGGAGAAGAGAUAAUGGCAGAUGCCAGAAGGUUGUCCAGCUGGUUACUACCUCUCCUCUUCACCUGAUUAUACCUGAUUACUGCUGACUCGAUGGGCAGGGAGAGUCGCUGACUCCUGACAGAAAGACUCUGUCACCCCUUGCCAUUUAUUUUAGAUCCUGUGAAUCCUACUGUCAAUGUUGUGACACCUGCAAUGCCUGGGAUGAAGCUGCCCAUGUGGUGAGAUGCAGCCUGUGGAAGCCUCUUUUCAGUGGAGUGAGAGCCAAGCCCCCUUGGCUUUUCAUAGACAAUUGGUGAACGGGACAAGGAGACACUGUCCUUGGAUGUCUGAAAAAAAAAGAAAAAGGUUGCAAAACAUGUUGCCAAUAAGAAUGUUGUAGAUGAAAGGCAGGAUGAAGGAAAGUGGUCUUAAUUUAAAUUCUCUAUUUUACUAAACCUACUCUUUAACAAAUAUGUUUAUGUGAGGCAUCAGAAGCAAAUGUAUUUUGGCUUUUAAGAGAAUUAAAAUUGUUUCCCCUAUUUUUUUAUUUGUUUGCUUUGGUGGCUUUGUGACCAAAAAAAUUGUUUUAAUCCAAAUAGCCACAAUAAAUAAAUAAGCAAAUGAAUAAAAUUCCCAGGUCAUUUGAGAGAAAAGAUUAACUGAAAAGGUAAAGCAUCUCCCCCUUUUUAGUUUCAGUUAAUUAUAGUGUCAGGAUGACUUUUUAACUUACCUGGCAAUCUGGAACCUCAUAGAGUCACUUGCGUUUUCAAAAUUUCCAUGUGAAAACAUGAUUGUGCCAAGUACUCCCUAUUAACUUUUAGACAUCAUCUAUAAAAUCACUACAGGAAAAUAUGGAAAUAUCUGAGAGAUACACAGUGGAUCGCCUCAGAAUAAAUCGUUCCCCAAAUCAUUUUAUGACUGCCUGAGUCGGGACUCAUGGGUCAGAGUAGAGUCAUAGUUAAGGUUUGCAACUGGCUUAGUAGCAAGAGGGGAUAAACAAACUAUCCAGGCUGUUGAACUGUCCAGUUUCGCUACAACUGUAUUUACUUGUUGGGAUCAACUGUUUUCUUUCCUAUUAAGGUAUUAGUAGCCACUGAUAAUGGAAGCCAGGGCCCGCUAGAAAUAGACCAGAGGAAAUUUCCUGACUCACUUGCAUAACAACAGUUCAUCAGCACUGAAGAUAUAUGAAGUGUGACUGCAGAGUAAUGGGAGUGAUUAGGUUUCUCUGCACAACAAAACUCUUACAUACAAAUGAGCACUGUCCCCUUCAGGACAGUCCUCAGGGAACCCGUAUGCUUAUUCCGGUGUGUGAUUGGUCUGGAAGCAUUUUUGGAUGCCCUCUGGACAGAAAGUGCUUUUGGACACUGUUAGUGGUGACAAAGUGUGUCCUUUGAGGAUGGAUUAGAUUGUUGGAAAUGAUACAAUGUAUUCACAGUAUACAUCUGUUGUUUUUGUCUACCCAGAAGCCUCUGUCCAAACUUGUGGUUGGAGAGGCUGUAUUUCUUCUGUCGUUCAUUCUGUCUUUGAAGGCUCUCGAGGAGAAAAUAGCUUUUAAUAUCUCUUGGGAAAUGGCCACAUUUUCCCCUGGCAAUUGAACCCAUGGCUUUCUUGAAUGACUACUCCUCAACCAGGUCUAAGUUGUUUAGGUAGGCUGACUUGACCACCAGUUCCAGAGCACAGACAUGUGACGAGCCUGGCCAUAGUCAUUGAUUCAGGGAUGGACACAUGACUGAAACGGCAUGCUGGCAUUUAGUUCUGGUACUUGGAUUUUAACUGUUGGGAGGAGAAUUUCUCACUCUGCUAUGAUAUAAGCAUGAAGCUACUGGCUUCCACUUGCUGCUACAAAGAGCCUGCUUAAAAAUGGAGCCAACAUAAAAGGAAGCAGAUUUAAGACCUGAGCGAUGAGAGCGUGCACAUGUGUGUAUAUCCACAUAAUGAGACUAAGUCUUGAUUUCUGCACCUUGAUCCAGAUAUACCUGGAGCAGAAACUCUGCUGGGACUCUUUUGUAUCAUGAGCCAGUAACCUCCCUAUUUGCCUAGUAGGUUGAUUUGGGCUUCAAUCUUGCAACCAAGUGAGUCCUGACUAAACCAGCAGAAUGGAGCCAGGUAAGGUUCUUUCUCAAGAAGAGAAGAAGGAAGGUAUCAAGACGUUUAUGACAAAUUUCUACUCAACACUGAGCACCUGCUAAGUGCUGGGCCUAAUAGUCGAGAUGCUGCAAUGAACUAGUCCAUUCAGGAUGCUGAGGUGUUUCAGCCUAGAAGAGACUGCUUUUCUUCCUUUGCUCAUGCAGACUCAGGGGGCCAUUCUCAAGGAGGAGUUAGUGACAGGAAUGUCUUUGGCAAAGACAGCACUCUUGAGUGUGGUCAGAACAUGUUAUUUAUUUCCCAAGAUGAUUAGUUUUUGAAGAAGACAACAAAUAGUUGAGGCUAUGAAUUCUAUCUCUGUAAAAAUAGAGUUAUGUUUUCCUCCUGUAGUCAGAUCUCCUGUGGAACGUGAGUAAACAGGAAUUUCUAUGUAUGGAGCAAGGACAGUAUGGUUAGCACAUAAUACAUGUGUUUAUUUCAGAGCUGGGGAGGACUCCUGACCAGCGUGACACCUAACAUUGGAGUGAAGGGGCAGCAGAUGUGACUUGUUCCUCCUUGCCUUCCACCGUGAUUGUGAGACCUCUCCAGCCACGUGAAACGGAAUGGGAAAUACUCUUCUCCUACCACCAACUUGGCCACUCUCCAGUGACGAGGUUUCAGAAGCAGUGCAUUUUCAAGUUUCUGCCUCAGAAGAGAUCCAGUUUGGCAUUCUGUCUAAGUUCACUGCACAGAGACGGGUUUGGCUCUGUGAUUCAUCAGAAAUAAGAAAAACAAACACUGUAAAUGGAGAACUUGAAAAAGAGGCUUCAGAAUAAAUAUAUUAACCAGCUUCAGUCAAAGUCUGCCUAGAAUCUGACCCUGACAAGACCCAGUGACUAGUGCUGCUCCGAACCUUCCCCACCAACAGCAGGCAAUUUUCUCUGUGGCAAAGCUACCUCGAAACAGGCAUCCAGGCUUCCCUCCCACGAAGUGAAGAUGAGAAAACUGAGUCUCAGAAUGGACAAGCUCACAGAUGGCAAGUGGUAGAGCAGACUUCACACAUAGCCAUCUGAGUGAGAUGGGAAGCUGAUCCUCCAGCCCUGAUCAAGCCUUCAAAUGACUGCACCUCCAGCUGACAGAUUACCAAAAGCAACCUCCUUCCAGAAGACCUUGAGCCAAAACCACUCAGCUAAGCUACUUCCAGAUCCCUGAUCCUCGGAAACUGUGCGAGACAAUAAAUGUUUAAAUGGCCACCCACUUUGGAAUAAAGAGGACAUAUAAUUUGCCUAAGGUCACAUAGCACUCUCUAAAUCAGUACAGUAUUUUAGACAAAGCUUCAACUUUGCACUUUUAUGGGUCAUUUUGAUAUAAGACUACAAGGAUAUCUCCUCCCAUGACAAACUUGACUUCAUUUACAACAAAAGGCCAAGCAAGAUACAGUACACUGUGGGGAUAAAUGGUACUCACUGAGGACAGGAAUAUGCUGACAUUAUCUCAAUUUCCUCCUCCCUCCUGUUGUUCUCCUUUGGAUGCUUUCCUGGACUAUAGGGAGAAGGAAAAUAGAGAAAGGCCAACUGCGACUAGGCCAGAGAUCAGAUGUUACCUUGUAGGAAGCAUCUCAUUCUAACCUUAAGUACUCUCUUGAUGAAGUACGGGGCCAAGAGAUUUUGGAAUUCUACCACACAAGGUUGCUCAGCAUUCCAAGAAGUAUUGAUAACUCUUCAAGAGCAAAAGUCAUUUAAAUUAAACUUCUCUGGCCGGGCAUGGUAGCUCAUAUCUGUAAACCCAGCACUUUGGGAGGCUGAGGCUGGAAGAUCACU
rnacentral:lncRNA from 1 species